rnacentral:rRNA from 1 species
CAGCUUCUGGACGUUGCGUUGGAAAGUUUCAUGAACCCAUCACUUAGAGGAAGGAGAAGUCGUAACAAGGUUUCCGUAGGUGAACCUGCGGAAGGAUCAUUC